rnacentral:rRNA from 1 species
CCUACGGGAGGCAGCAGUAAGGAAUAUUGGUCAAUGGGCGCAAGCCUGAACCAGCCAUGCCGCGUGCAGGAAGACGGCCCUAUGGGUUGUAAACUGCUUUUGAACAAGAGAAAACCUCGGUACGUGUACCGAGCUGAUAGUAUUGUUAGAAUAAGCAUCGGCUAACUUCGUGCCAGCAGCCGCGGUAAGACGAAGGAUGCAAGCGUUAUCCGGAUUCAUUGGGUUUAAAGGGUGCGUAGGCGGCCUGAUAAGUCAGUGGUGAAAUCUCUCAGCUUAACUGAGAAACUGCCAUUGAUACUGUCGGGCUUGAGUACAGAUGACGUGGGCGGAAUAUGACAUGUAGUGGUGAAAUACUUAGAUAUGUCAUAGAACACCGAUUGCGAAGGCAGCUCACAAACUGUAACUGACGCUGAGGCACGAAAGUUGGNGGAGUACAACAGAGUAGUAUACCUACGUAGUACGCGACCGUAACCGUAACGUAGUAUUACUUACGUUGUUGGUCG